UACGUAGGGUGCGAGCGUUAAUCGGAAUUACUGGGCGUAAAGCGUGCGCAGGCGGCGCGUUAAGACAGGUGUGAAAGCCCCGAGCUUAACUUGGGAAUUGCGCUUGUGACUGGCGUGCUGGAGUGUGGCAGAGGGAGGUGGAAUUCCACGUGUAGCAGUGAAAUGCGUAGAGAUGCGGAGGAACACCAGUGGCGAAAGCGACUUUCUGGUCCUUAACUGACGCUGAGGCGCGAAAGCAUGGGGAGCGAACGGG
rnacentral:rRNA from 1 species